AUUCAUUCAUAUGUGUUUAUUUCAUUUAUUCACUCAACAAACAUUUCUUGAGUGCCUACUAUCUACCAAGCACUGUGCUAGGAAUUAGAAAUGGAGAAAUCAACAAAAAUAAUAAAAAUAAUAAUAAUA
rnacentral:miRNA from 1 species